rnacentral:misc_RNA from 1 species
UUUUCAGUUUCGCUACCCUCUUCAUCUUCCUAUCUAGAGUUUAAAAGCAUACUUUAAAGAUGAGAAUCAAUGUAGAUGUGAAUUUCAAGUGUCAGCCGAUUGCAAAGGAAGGUCUACGGUUACUCCAUACAAUUUUGUUGAUCUGAGAUUUGUCACACUUCUUUAUCACUUCCAAAUCUCUUCUAAAUCACAACAGAGAGGGCUGCAAAAAUAUUAUUUAGAUAAAAAGCAUUUUGAAGUUUAUCUAUAGAUGAUCGGCUUUAGUUAUAUGUACACUUUGAAAGUAGAACAUGCCUCUCGAAGUGGACUACGAGAAAGAAUUGGUGAGGACGUAGAAAAAGAUGAAGCAAAAUCUGAAAUCUAAAUCUCCCUCUACUACAACUUUGAAGAUAAAGCGCAAGAACUCCUACACGAUUAGAUAUACAUUGGAUCUAUAAAGUUUUGAAAGUGAGAUGCAGUGUUGAAAAAUCAGAACCAGUGAAUGAAGAUGUGGAAGAAGAAGGUCAACAAUGGAGAAAGGGGAACUUGAAAAUCAAGCAUAGUCAAAAUAUACUCUUUGAAGAAACUACAAACGAGACUAGAGCGUGAGAAGGUUAAAAGAACAAACUAGAUAUAGCAGAAACUACAAACUAGAUAUCCAUAUAACACUUGUACAUGUUUGAACCGAAAUGUGUUAAAAAGA